GUCAAACAAACGACGGCCCACAAAACAAAAGUGAUUUGGGUCAGUUGAUGAAUAAGGCUAAAUAAGUACAAUUGACUUUUCGUUUGUCAAUUGUACAUCUGUUUCUGUUCCUUCAAGUUCGAACUUACGGUAGUCCCGUCUGCAGGGGAACGACGCCAAUUACAUGCUUAGCGGGAAGCCCGUUUCAAACCCACAACCGAAAAAACACAUAAAUUCGUGUCACUCUCUAACGCUCUCUUCCCGCGAGAUAAUCUCCCCCAGCAACCCCCCCUCUCUCUCUCUCUCUCUCUCAAUCCCAUGACGAAUCCGAAUCCGAAUCCGAAUCUAAAACCGAACUGUUUUCUCCCCCAUGUCGAGCUCUCCUCCACCUUCUUCAAAGCCACCCCUGAUUUCCGACCCCGACGGCAAAUUAGACUCCGCAACGACGUCGUCCGUGUCCUCUCCAACUCAACCCUCUCCCUCCAGAGCUAAGCUCCUCAAAAUCCCCCCCAUCCCGAUUCGACGAAGCCCCAGACACACGAUCCACGAAGACGAAGAAUUUGAAGAAUUCGAAGAAGAAGACGACGACGACGACGAAGAGUAUGAGGACCAGGUUCGUACGGAACGUAAAACAGAUGAUGCGCCUAUCGUGUUGGCAUCGUCGCUCGGCCUCAAUCACAUUCGGACUCGAUCGGCUCCGUCCCCGCUUCGAUUCUCUUCGUCGGUCUGCUCGGCUUCGAAUUUCGGUGACGAAUCGAAUAAGGUCAAGUACACGGUCAAGCCAAAACCCAAAUUUACGCCCAUACAACCAGUGAAACCUGUGCACUGGAAUCAAUCAAAAUCGCUCAGAAAUCCUUCACUACUCAAUCCAGUCUCGGAGGGUAACCAUGCAGCCUUUUCAAAGGAAAUGCAGUCGCCGCGUUUUCAGGCAAUACUGCGUCUUACGAGUGGGCGAAAGAAGAGAACACAUGACAUUAAAAGUUUCUCUCAUGAGCUCAACUCUAAAGGAGUUCGACCAUUUCCCGUGUGGAAGUCUCGCGCAUUUGGCCAUAUGGAGGAGAUUAUGGUGGCGGUCAGGGCAAGAUUUGAGAGGUUAAAGGAAGAUGUUGACUUUGAUUUAGGUGCAUUUGCUGGUGAUUUGGUGGGAAUACUUGAAAAGUCUUCGGAGUCUCACCCUGAAUGGAAAGAGAAUUUUGAGGACUUGUUGGUUGUUGCCCGGCGGUGUGCAAAGAUGUCGCCUGGUGAAUUUUGGGUGAAGUGCGAAGCCAUUGUUCAGAAAUUGGAUGACCGGCGUCAAGAGCUACCAAUGGGGGCCCUCAAACAAGCCCACACCCGUCUUCUUUUUAUUCUCACUCGGUGCACACGGCUUGUGCAGUUCCAAAAAGAGAGUGGUUAUGAGGAAGAGCACAUUCUCAGUCUUCACCAGCUCAGUGAUCUUGGUGUUUACCCUGAACAAAUUUUGGAGGGUGCACAGCAGAGCUUUAGUGGCCAACUGGGUGGUAAGGAUGCAAAUGAGAAGCACAUGAAUAAGUCCCAUGAGCAGGAAAAAGUUAGUGCUGCUGAUGAUGUGGAGGUUGACACUGCCAAAAGCGUUGAAUCUACAGGCAGCUAUAGGAUGUCAUCUUGGAAAAAACUUCCAUCUGCUGCUGAGAAGAAUCAGAAAGGCCAUGAUGCUGCUGAUACAGCGCCAAACGACAAAUCAGACCGUUUGCAUGCCAAAGAUGACACAAAAACUUGUGGGGAGUAUAGUAGUGACAAUGUGGAUACUCCAUCAUGCCGACCUGAACCCCCAGAGGUGUCUGCAAGUGCACAAAGAAUCUCUUGGGGAUUAUGGAUGGAUCAGCAGAAUGUUUCAUACGAGAAUUUGAUGAUCUGUCGCAUAUGUGAGGUGGAAAUACCAACUGUACAUGUAGAGGAGCACUCCCGAAUAUGUACGAUUGCUGAUAGGUGUGACUUGAAGGGUUUAACUGUGAUGAUCGACUUGAAAGAGUUGCUGAAGCUCUUGAAAGGAUAAUGGAAUCUUGGACACUAAAAGGCACUGAUACUCGAGGAAGUUUUGAUGUUUCAGGAGUAUAUACAACAAGGAUGCAUGAAGAUUUAGAUGAGUUGUCACCACCAAAACGAAAUGACUUGUCUCCUCGUUUCUCUGAAGGCAUUCUUGAUUGCGUUCCUGAUGCUGACAAUUCUUUUGUCAUGGAAGAUCUGAAUGUUUUGCCUGACAUGCCAUGUGACAUGCGUUCUUCUUUGACACCUGAACAAGGCACCAGAACCUCGUCGGCAGGAAGCUCGACACCAAGAUCACCACUAUUAACACCAAGAACCAGUCAGAUUGAAAUGCUGUUGAGUGGAUGGAGAGCAAUACCAGAACUUGAGAGUUAUCAGCAGAUUCAUAAGCUACUGGAUAUCGCCCGUUCCAUCGCAAAUGUUAGCAAUUGUGAAUACAGUGCAUUGGAGUACAUGCUUGAACGACUGGAAGACCUAAAAUAUGCCAUCCAGGAUAGGAAGGUCGAUGCCCUUGUUGUGGAGACUUUUGGAAGGCGUAUAGAAAAAUUAUUGCAGGAAAAAUAUGUACAUCUUUGUGGGCAGAUAGAAGAUGAGAAAGUGGAUCCAUCAAAUGGUAUGGCUGACGAAGAAAGUUCAGUUGAAGAUGAAGCAGUUCGUAGUCUGCGUGCCAGCCCCAUCAAUCCGUGUUCAAAGGAUCGAACAUCUAUUGAAGAUUUUGAAAUAAUAAAACCAAUAAGCAGGGGUGCAUUUGGGCGAGUUUUUCUUGCCAGAAAAAGAGCGACUGGUGACUUAUUUGCUAUAAAGGUAUUAAAGAAGGCUGAUAUGAUUCGUAAAAAUGCUGUUGAAAGUAUUUUGGCGGAGCGUAACAUCCUUAUAUUGCUUCGCAAUCCUUUUGUGGUCCGAUUUUUCUAUUCGUUCACAUGCAGGGAAAACCUGUAUCUGGUCAUGGAAUACUUAAAUGGUGGAGAUCUGUACUCUUUACUACGAAAUCUAGGCUGCUUAGAUGAAGAUAUGGCCAAAGUAUAUAUUGCAGAAGUUGUUCUUGCUUUGGAGUAUUUGCAUUCAUUAAAUGUUGUCCAUAGAGACUUGAAGCCAGACAACCUGUUGAUUGGUCAAGAUGGUCACAUCAAGUUGACAGAUUUUGGGCUCUCCAAGGUUGGUCUAAUCAGCAGCACUGAUGACUUAUCAGGUCCAUCAGUUAGUGAUACUGGUUUUCUUCGAGAUGAUGAACCAAAAACUCAGCCUUCAUCAGAAAGGACACAGCGCCAGAAACAUUCAGUUGUUGGCACCCCUGAUUAUUUGGCACCUGAAAUACUUCUUGGCAUGGGGCAUAGUGCAACUGCUGAUUGGUGGUCUGUGGGCGUUAUUCUUUUUGAGCUGCUUGUUGGUCUUCCACCGUUCAAUGCAGAGCAUCCACAGCAAAUUUUCAACAAUAUAAUAAACAGAGAUAUUCCCUGGCCUAAGGUACCUGAGGAGAUGAGCUAUGAAGCAUACGAUUUGAUUGACAAAUUGAUGACCGAAAACCCAGUUCAAAGACUUGGAGCAACAGGUUCCAGGGAGGUAAUUUAUUGACUACCGAUGAAAAUUCAUUUGUAAGUCAGAAUGAAGAGGUCCCUUUGAUCCAUUAAGGUUUGAGCCGACGCGAUUUUCUUAUCUCGCCAUCAUGUACGGAAACAAAUGCCCUAGAAGCUAGAAAAGGGUUCUUCUCCUUCACUCUUCUUCUCUAACACAGCACCAGAACGAGACGCUUCGUCAGCUCCAUUUCUUCUGCUUUUCUCAUCAGACAUGGAUAACAUACAAGAUAUCGCACAAGGGAUGCAGGAAUUUAAAAUUGAAGCGAUCUCAUGCACUUUUCCCCAGGAAAUCAUACAAGAGAUCCUACUUAGGCUAACCGUC